rnacentral:rRNA from 1 species
GACGAACGCUGGCGGCGUGCCUAACACAUGCAAGUCAGGGAGAAUGGGGUAGCAAUAUCCCUAGUAAACCGGCGCAAGGGUGAGUAACACGUAAGCAAUCUGCCUUUUGGACGGGAAUAACUUCGAGAAAUCGAGGCUAAUACCCGAUAAUGCAGCGGCAUCGCAUGAUGACAGUUGUUAAAGGCCGUAAGGUGCCAAAAGAUGAGCUUGCGUCCCAUUAGCUUGUUGGCGGGGUAACGGCCCACCAAGGCGACGAUGGGUAGCUGGUCUGAGAGGACGAUCAGCCACACUGGAACUGAGACACGGUCCAGACUCCUACGGGAGGCAGCAGUGAGGAAUAUUGCGCAAUGUACCGAAAGGGUGACGCAGCGACGCCGCGUGAAGGAU